GAAAAACAAAUAGAAAAUGUUCAUAUAAUAUUAGUAAUACGGUCUAAUAGUUUCUACAAACUCACCUUAAAUGGGUUUUCUAUGAAUAGAAUGUCAACUCUG
rfam:Clostridium difficile 630 complete genome